AUUACAAGUAAGAGGAAUAGGCUGCGCGUACAAUUUGGCUCGCGACAAGGUUUGCCGAGAGACGCCUUUAACAUGAAGGGAUCACGCGAAGACGGAACUAGGAAACACUGGUCCAGAUGCACCAUCGGAUUUGGGGAGGUGCGCCGGCAGAUCACGUGACUGAGCCGAUUGACUCUUCGGGGGUGACGGAUGGUGACGCCCGACAGGACCGUCGCUGGCACCGGUCCGGAAAAGUGCGUGGAAACACCAAACGAUAGCAGAAACCAAGAGGGAUUGCCAAAAAAAUAAACCGAAGGUAACUGAAGGGGCGACUGUGAACAAGAAGGACUGCAGAAACAAAUCAUAAUGCCGGCAGCAAUCACGCACUGAUAUCUGACUUAAUUUAUUUGUAACAUUAUCCAGCUUAAAUUUGGUUUUAUUCCUUUUUUUGUACAUGAAGGAUGUUGUUUGGGCUCCAUUCAAAGCUUAUAUCUGCAUGGAUGAAGAUAAAUACGUGGGAGAACGAUGUUCCAAUAAUCUUAUAGCUUUUGCAGGAAGAAAUGACUGCAAGUAUAUUGUCUCCUGCCAAGAUUGUGGCUCCCAAACCCAUCGCUUCAAACACAGUUGCACACAGACACAGACACACACACACACACACACACACACACACAGACCUGUACUCAUAUCUUUGUGGGGACCUU